rnacentral:rRNA from 3 species
AUUCCGGUUGAUCCUGCCGGAGGCCAUUGCUAUCGGAGUCCGAUUUAGCCAUGCUAGUCGCGCGGGUUUAGACCCGCGGCAGAUAGCUCAGUAACACGUGGCCAAACUACCCUAUGGACGGAGAUAACCUCGGGAAACUGAGGCUAAUAUCCGAUACAGCUCGCACGCUGGAGUGCAGCGAGCUGGAAACGUUCCGGCGCCAUAGGAUGUGGCUGCGGCCGAUUAGGUAGACGGUGGGGUAAUGGCCCACCGUGCCGAUAAUCGGUACAGGUUGUGAGAGCAAGAGCCUGGAGACGGAAUCUGAGACAAGAUUCCGGGCCCUACGGGGCGCAGCAGGCGCGAAACCUUUACACUGCACGACAGUGCGAUAGGGGGACUCCGAGUGCGAGGGCAUACAGUCCUCGCUUUUCUGCACCGUAAGGUGGUACAGGAACAAGUGCUGGGCAAGACCGGUGCCAGCCGCCGCGGUAAUACCGGCAGCACGAGUGAUGGCCGAUUUUAUUGGGCCUAAAGCGUCCGUAGCCGGCCGAGCAAGUCUGUUGGGAAAUCCACGCGCUCAACGCGUGGGCGUCCAGCGGAAACUGUUCGGCUUGGGGCCAGAGGACUCGAGGGGUACGUCCGGGGUAGGAGUGAAAUCCCGUAAUCCUGGACGGACCACCGGUGGCGAAAGCGCCUCGAGAAGAUGGACCCGACGGUGAGGGACGAAAGCUUGGGUCUCGAACCGGAUUAGAUACCCGGGUAGUCCAAGCUGUAAACGAUGCUCGCUAGGUGUGCCGCAGGCUACGAGCCUGCGCUGUGCCGUAGGGAAGCCGAGAAGCGAGCCGCCUGGGAAGUACGUCUGCAAGGAUGAAACUUAAAGGAAUUGGCGGGGGAGCACUACAACCGGAGGAGCCUGCGGUUUAAUUGGACUCAACGCCGGACAUCUCACCAGCACCGACAACGGUAAUGAUGGCCAGGUUGAUGACCUUACCCGACGCCGUUGAGAGGAGGUGCAUGGCCGCCGUCAGCUCGUACCGUGAGGCAUCCUGUUAAGUCAGGCAACGAGCGAGACCCGCAUCCUUAAUUGCCAGCAGCAUCCUUGUGAUGGCUGGGUACAUUAGGGAGACCGCCACGGCUAACGUGGAGGAAGGAACGGGCAACGGUAGGUCAGCAUGCCCCGAAUGUGCUGGGCAACACGCGGGCUACAAUGGCCGGGACAGUGGGAAGCUAAUCCGAGAGGAUACGCUAAUCCCCUAAACCCGGUCGUAGUUCGGAUUGAGGGCUGAAACUCGCCCUCAUGAAGCUGGAUUCGGUAGUAAUCGCGUGUCAGAAGCGCGCGGUGAAUACGUCCCUGCUCCUUGCACACACCGCCCGUCAAAUCACCCGAGUGGGGUCCGGAUGAGGCCAUCAUGCGAUGGUCGAAUCUGGGCUCCGCAAGGGGGAUUAAGUCGUAACAAGGUAGCCGUAGGGGAAUCUGCGGCUGGAUCACCUCCU